CAACCCUCAAGCUCUGCUUGGUGUUGGGCCCCGCCCCCGUGGCCGGCCCCAAAGUCAGUGGCGGCGCCGUCCGGCUCUAAGCGUAGUACACCUCUCGCUCUAGGGUCCUGCGGUGGCCUGCCAGAACCCCAACUUCUAU
rnacentral:misc_RNA from 1 species